rnacentral:rRNA from 1 species
CGUGGGUAACCUGCCCAAGAGAUCGGGAUAACACCUGGAAACAGAUGCUAAUACCGGAUAACAACAGAUGAUGCCUAUCAACUGUUUAAAAGAUGGUUCUGCUAUCACUCUUGGAUGGACCUGCGGUGCAUUAGCUAGUUGGUAGGGUAACGGCCUACCAAGGCGAUGAUGCAUAGCCAGUUGAGAGACUGAUCGGCCACAUUGGGACUGAGACACGGCCCAAACUCCUACGGGAGGCAGCAGGAC